rnacentral:lncRNA from 1 species
GCAUGAUUAUUAUUAUCCUUUUAGUUUCCACUGAUAUUUUCCCCAGGUAGUAUAUACUCUCUUUUUUGACACAUUAACUUGGGCAGGUGAAGUUCACACAAGCCAUUUUCCUUGGGAGGUAGAUGAGGAUUGUAGUGUUUGCAUUGCAGCGUUGGAGAAAACAAUAUAUGGUGACAGCAUAAUGAGAGAGAUACAGGUGCAUCAUAUCCAUGGCAUCAACUCUAAUAAGUACUGCCUUCUCACACACUCAUCAAGUUAUGUGAACAUUCUUCCCUCAUUCUCUUCUCUUGAGCACCGCGAGUUGAAAAGAAUCUAUCCUGUCCUUGUCUACGCAUAAACUAGCUUGUACUCUAAUGUCAGAGAAGCACUUG